GUGGGGAAUAUUGGACAAUGGGCGCAAGCCUGAUCCAGCCAUGCCGCGUGAGUGACGAAGGCCUUAGGGUUGUAAAGCUCUUUUGGCGGGGAAGAUAAUGACGGUACCCGCAGAAUAAGCUCCGGCUAACUUCGUGCCAGCAGCCGCGGUAAUACGAAGGGAGCUAGCGUUGUUCGGAAUCACUGGGCGUAAAGCGCACGUAGGCGGAUGUGUCAGUCAGGGGUGAAAUCCCGGAGCUCAACUUCGGAACUGCCCUUGAUACAGCACGUCUUGAGUCCGAGAGAGGUGAGUGGAAUUCCUAGUGUAGAGGUGAAAUUCGUAGAUAUUAGGAAGAACACCAGUGGCGAAGGCGGCUCACUGGCUCGGUACUGACGCUGAGGUGCGAAAGCGUGGGGAGCAAACAGGAUUAGAAACCCGAGUAGUCC
rnacentral:rRNA from 1 species